GUGGGCAUAGCUCAGUUGGUUAGAGCGCCAGUUUGUGGCACUGGAGGCCGGGGUUCGAAUCCCCUUGCUCACC
rnacentral:tRNA from 1 species